GAUGAACGCUGGCGGCGUGCCUAAUACAUGCAAGUCGAGCGAACAGAUGAGGAGCUUGCUCCUCUGACGUUAGCGGCGGACGGGUGAGUAACACGUGGAUAACCUACCUAUAAGACUGGGAUAACUUCGGGAAACCGGAGCUAAUACCGGAUAAUAUAUUGAACCGCAUGGUUCAAUAGUGAAAGACGGCUUUGCCGUCACUUAUAGAUGGAUCCGCGCCGCAUUAGCUAGUUGGUAAGGUAACGGCUUACCAAGGCAACGAUGCGUAGCCGACCUGAGAGGGUGAUCGGCCACGCUGGAACUGAGACACGGUCCAGACUCCUACGGGAGGCAGCAGUAGGGAAUCUUCCGCAAUGGGCGAAAGCUUGACGGAGCAACGCCGCGUGAGUGAUGAAGGUCUUCGGAUCGUAAAACUCUGUUAUUAGGGAAGAACAAAUGUGUAAGUAACUAUGCACGUCUUGACGGUACCUAAUCAGAAAGCCACGGCUAACUACGU
rnacentral:rRNA from 1 species